rnacentral:rRNA from 1 species
GAUGAACGCUGGCGGCGUGCCUAAUACAUGCAAGUCGAGCGAACAGACGAGGAGCUUGCUCCUCUGACGUUAGCGGCGGACGGGUGAGUAACACGUGGAUAACCUACCUAUAAGACUGGGAUAACUUCGGGAAACCGGAGCUAAUACCGGAUAAUAUAUUGAACCGCAUGGUUCAAUAGUGAAAGACGGUUUUGCUGUCACAUAUAGAUGGAUCCGCGCCGCAUUAGCUAGAUGGUAAGGUAACGGCCUACCAAGGCAACGAUGCGUAGACGACCUGAGAGAGGGAUAGGCUAGGCUAGAACUGAGGAGCGGUCCAGACUCCUGCGGGAGGCAGCGGUAGGAAAUCUUCCGCAAUGGGCGAGAGCCUGACAGAGCAACGCCACGUAAGUGAUGAAGAUCUUCGGAUCGUAAAAAUGUGUUAUUAGGGAAGAACAAUGGUGUAAGUAACUAUGCACGGCUUGACGGUACCUAAUCAGAAAGCAACGGCUAAAUACGUG